UGUAACUCGGGGGCAGCAGCGGCGGUAAGGCAGAGGGUUGGAGUGUUAGGCGGAAUCACUUGGCUUAAAGCGUGUGUAGGCGGACUUGUAAGUACCUGGUGAAAUCCCACGGCUCAACCGUGGAACUGCUUGGUAUACUGCUUGGCUGGGGCCAGCUAGGGGUUACCGGAACAAACGGUGGAGCGGUGAAAUGCGUAGAUAUCGUUUGGAACGCCAAUGGUGAAAACAGGUAACUGGGGCUGUGCCGACGCUGAGACACGAAAGCCAGGGGAGCGAACGGGAUUAGAUACCCCGGUAGUC
rnacentral:rRNA from 1 species